rnacentral:tRNA from 1 species
GUCUCCAUCGUCUAGAGGCCUAGGACGUCGCCUUCUCACGGCGGUAGCGCGAGUUCGAAUCUCGCUGGGGACGCCA